rnacentral:tRNA from 1 species
GGUAAGGUGGCUGAGUGAAGCGGUAGACUGUAAAUCUAUUUACGAGGAUUUUCCCUCCCUUACCA